CUCCUGGAACGGGUGGCAAUGCCGGAUGCUCCGCCCCCUCGCAUGGGGGUCGGGAAGGCUUUUGCGGAAUGGGAUGGGGUCGCGUCCUAUCAGCUUGUUGGCGGGGCGACGGCCCACCAAGGCUUCGACGGGUAGCCGGCCUGAGAGGGCGACCGGCCACAUUGGGACUGAGAUACGGCCCAGACUCCUACGGGAGGCAGCAGUGGGGAAUAUUGCACAAUGGGGGGAACCCUGAUGCAGCGACGCCGCGUGCGGGAUGGAGGCCUUCGGGUCGUGAACCGCUUUUGAUUGGGAGCAAGCGUGAGUGAGUGUACCCUUCGAAUAAGCACCGGCUAACUACGUGCCAGCAGCCGCGGUAAUACGUAGGGUGCAAGCGUUGUCCGGAAUCAUUGGGCGUAAAGGGCUCGUAGGCGGUUCGUCGCGUCCGGUGUGAAAGCCCAUCGCUUAACGGUGGGUCUGCGCCGGGUACGGGCGGGCUUGAGUGCGGCAGGGGAGGCUGGAAUUCCCGGUGUAACGGUGGAAUGUGUAGAUAUCGGGAAGAACACC
rnacentral:rRNA from 1 species